ensembl:lncRNA
UUAUGUUUUCAGUAAAGCUCUGGUCAACAACAGGCUAUUCGUAGUUAAGUUUUGGGGAGUCAAAAGUUACACACAGAUUUUCAACUACAUGGGGAAAAGGAAUUAGGGAGUUCCCGUUGUGGCACAGCAGAAACAAAUCUGACUAGUAUCCAUGAGGAUGUGGGUUCGAUCCCUGGCCUCGCUCAGUGGGUCAGCGAUCUAGCAUUGCUGUGAGCUGUGGUGUAGGUCACACAGUGUUGCUGUGGCUGUGGCAUAGGCCGGCAGCUGUAGCUCCGAUUAGACCCCUAGCCUGGGAACUUCCAUGUGCCUCAGGAGCAGCCCUAAAAAGCAAAAAAAAAAAAAAAAGAAAGAAAGAAAAGAAAAGGAAUUAUAUUACAAUUAGGUUUCUCAAGUUUUUUUAACUCCAAAUAACCCAAAAUUGCUUUGGGAUCCAGAGAUCACUGUGUCUUCAGGAUAAAAUUAUUUCUAAGACGGUUUCCCCAGCAUUUGCUUUUAUUGGGUUCUUUAGUUGUGUGUCACAGUGGCUACUAAUUUUAAAUCAUUCACUUUCCCUUCUGUCACUGGUAUUAACUAUACAAGUGGUGGUUUUUUCAAACACUGGUUACACUUUGAAGCCAAAGUGAGUUUGUACAAGGGGCGCUGUGAGAGAUAUUGAAGAGGGCAAAGACUGACUCAAAGCAAUCCAUGUGGAGUGUGUCUUGUUUCCUCCUGAAUUGGGGAUUUCAGCUGCUUCCUUCUGUCAUGCUAGCGACUGUGUUUUUGUACUUGCUGAGUUCAAGGCGCCCCCUCGUGGUACAACUGACACUAAUCAACAUGAGAAAACAAGAUUACAAGUGACAGAGGCAAUUCCUUUAGAUAUAAUCUUUUUGCUCUCCGCAUUUAUAAGAUUCUCAAAUAAAUAAAAUAUAUUUUCUCCUUUUGUUUUAAAGUCAUCUAUAUCUAUGCAACUCAUAUUCAACGCUAAGCCUUUUCAAGGUAGAAACAAAUCAGAACAUCAAGAACAAAUCAUUAGAUGACAAAUUCCAGGUCUCUUAUUUAAAAAAAAAAAAAAAUUUUUUUUUUUUAAUUUUUUUUGCAAGUCCCCAUCAUGGCUCAGUGGAAACAAAUCUGACUAGGAUCCAUGAGGAUGCAGGUUCCAUCCCUGGCCUUACUCAGUGGGUUAAGGAUCCGGCGUUGCCAUGAUCUGUGGUGUAGGUCCCAGACACGGCUUGGAUCUGGCAUUGCUGAGGCUGUGGCAUAGGCCAGCAGCUACAGCUCCAAUUCAGCCCCUAGCCUGUGAACCUCCAUAUGCCUCAGGUGCAGCUCUAAAAAGGACAAAAGACAAAAAAAAAUUUUUUUUUUUAUUUGAAAUUAAGGGUAUUGCCUGCUUAUAUGUUAAAGUAAAGCAUCUUGUUGAUAAUGCAAUAUGUUUUUUUAAAAAGCUUCAAGUCCCUACCAUUUUCACUCUUGGUCUGUGCCAAGAAUUGUGUGCCAUGCCCUGCAUUCCUCAAUCUCAAUUUACCCUCACAACAACCAAACACAGUAAAUACUAUUAACAUCCCCACUUACAGAUAAGGAAAGUCAGGCUUAAGGAAGUUAAAUCAUUACCACGUGACUUCAGAAGCAGGAAGACAGUAAGUAGUAGGCUUCCAGAAAUUGAUAAAAAUAGCACUGUGCGUGGCUCGAAUCUUGACCUUAGUGGAAACCAAUAGUGAUAAUUCUCCACUUGUAAAGCAAAGAACAAGACGGUUGACAGUAAGAGAGGAGGAAGAGGAAACAAGCUUCUGUAAAUUUAGAAACAUGAAUAAAAAUCUGAGUGAAGGCUCUGGCAAUUAGGUCUCUGAGUCAGAAGAUGUGGUGGACACCUCAGUGAUUAUUGUGACAAGCUCUAGGGAGCCCCUAACAUAGAUGUGCUUUCACUAGAUCUUAUUAUUUUUUCCCUGAAUGCAUUUUCUUUAACCAUAGUUAGUCUUCCAACGGGUAAACUGCUCCCCAAGAGUCAAAAGUUAACUAAAGGUAGACUGACAUCAGAAAAUUCCCAAUUGCUUGGCGAUCCCCUUGUGGCCCAGUGGUUAACGAACCCAACUAGUAUCCAUGAGAACAGGGGUUUGAUCCCUGGCCCCUCUCAGUGGGUUAAGGAUCCAGCGUUGCCAUGAACUGUAGUGUAGGUGGCAGACACAGCUUGCAUCUGGCCUUGC